rnacentral:rRNA from 1 species
UACGGAGGAUCCGAGCGUUAUCCGGAUUUAUUGGGUUUAAAGGGUGCGUAGGCGGCACUUUAAGUCAGGGGUGAAAGACGGCAGCUUAACUGUCGCAGUGCCUUUGAUACUGAAGUGCUUGAAUGCGGUUGAAGACGGCGGAAUGAGACAAGUAGCGGUGAAAUGCAUAGAUAUGUCUCAGAACACCGAUUGCGAAGGCAGCUGUCUAAGCCGUUAUUGACGCUGAUGCACGAAAGCGUGGGGAU